rnacentral:rRNA from 1 species
CCUCCAAGGCUAAAUACUACUGACUGACCGAUAGUGAACCAGUACCGUGAGGGAAAGGCGAAAAGAACCCCUGUGAGGGGAGUGAAAUAGAACCUGAAACCGUGUACGUACAAGCAGUAGGAGCAGGCUUUGUCCUGUGACUGCGUACCUUUUGUAUAAUGGGUCAGCGACUUAUAUUCAGUGGCAAGGUUAACCAUCUAGGGGAGCCGUAGGGAAACCGAGUCUUAACUGGGCGUUCAGUCUCUGGAUAUAGACCCGAAACCAGGUGAUCUAGCCAUGGGCAGGUUGAAGGUUGAGUAACAUCAACUGGAGGACCGAACCGACUAAUGUUGAAAAAUUAGCGGAUGACUUGUGGCUA